CAGAGAGCUUGCUCUCGGGUGACGAGCGGCGGACGGGUGAGUAAUGUCUGGGAAACUGCCUGAUGGAGGGGGAUAACUACUGGAAACGGUAGCUAAUACCGCAUAACGUCGCAAGACCAAAGUGGGGGACCUUCGGGCCUCAUGCCAUCAGAUGUGCCCAGAUGGGAUUAGCUAGUAGGUGGGGUAACGGCUCACCUAGGCGACGAUCCCUAGCUGGUCUGAGAGGAUGACCAGCCACACCGGAACUGAGACACGGUCCAGACUCCUACGGGAGGCAGCAGUGGGGAAUAUUGCACAAUGGGCGCAAGCCUGAUGCAGCCAUGCCGCGUGUGUGAAGAAGGCCUUCGGGUUGUAAAGCACUUUCAGCGGGGAGGAAGGCGUUAAGGUUAAUAACCUUGGCGAUUGACGUUACCCGCAGAAGAAGCACCGGCUAACUCCGUGCCAGCAGCCGCGGUAAUACGGAGGGUGCAAGCGUUAAUCGGAAUUACUGGGCGUAAAGCGCACGCAGGCGGUCUGUCAAGUCGGAUGUGAAAUCCCCGGGCUCAACCUGGGAACUGCAUUCGAAACUGGCAGGCUAGAGUCUUGUAGAGGGGGGUAGAAUUCCAGGUGUAGCGGUGAAAUGCGUAGAGAUCUGGAGGAAUACCGGUGGCGAAGGCGGCCCCCUGGACAAAGACUGACGCUCAGGUGCGAAAGCGUGGGGAGCAAACAGGAUUAGAUANCCUGGUAGUCCACGCCGUAAACGAUGUCGAUUUGGAG
rnacentral:rRNA from 1 species